rnacentral:lncRNA from 1 species
UUAAGACAGAGGGAUAUAAACUAAGCUUUGACCUUUUACUUCUUUUUUUCUUUUUUGUUGUUAAGGAUUUCAGGGAUCAAGUAUAGCACCAAAAUGCAGCUGUAUUUGUUACCAAAACCCAAUAAAUCUGUUUCCACCAUCAGAUAACAGCUUAAAAAUGCUUGAGCAUCAGGUCAACACUUUGUCCCUUCAAGUCACCUCUCCUGGCUUUUAAUUUGUCUCGCAAAUACCGAGCAAGUCAAAACAAGUUUGCCAAUCUCAUAAUGAAUAAUAGCAUAGGUUAUGUAAUUAUACUAUUUAUUGCAACAGUAGGCAGAUAAACUUCAAGAACCAUUGGCUAAAAAGAAACCUUCUAUUCUAUAUAAGUAGGCUGAUCCUAGUUCUGGAAACUCACAUUGUAGGCAGCUAAUCAUCAUGCAUGUAAAAUUGCAGUUGAGCCAUUUCCAAUGAUCCUCUAUAAAGCUCUUCAGUUCAGUUCACUAACCCUAAAACACUGAAAGAUCAAAUGCAUGUGGGUGAAACACAAACCAUAUGCAUGUGAUACAGAAGUACUUAAGAAUCUUAACAGAAUCCACAUAGGAAACAACAUGUUCUUGAGUUUGCUUUCUCCUAAACAAGUGAUCAAAUCAGAUUCAUAUCCAAAUUGUUGCCACUAGUCUACUACCUUAUGAAUUAUUUUAACAAUAUAGCCAAAAGCUAAUAUAGGAAAAUCUUCCAAGAAUGAUUAACACGAAACACACCAACACCACUACUUAGAGGUGGAAAGGGGCACGUUUUACCCUAGUAAACCAACCAUGAAGAAAGAUCUAGUGCUUUUUUUCACCUUUCGAUUUAUGGAUGAGUGUUCUUGGAGUAGUUGGUCUAGCUCUGAACCUACGUGCCUGACUUUUUUCUCAGGAAAUUCGCAGAAGAAGAUCCUGAAUUUGAGACUUUCUACAACAAAAUAUUCUCUUUGUUCUAAUUUGUGUCUCAAGUGCUUACCUCCACAAGAUGGCCAAUGCCCAGAGAAGUACAAUAAUAUUGACAAGACUGAGGUUGAAAGAAAAUUGUUUGGAGACAAGAAGCUGAUCAAAGAACACAUUCAGAGCUUUUAUGAGAUGCUCUUUACUGAAAGAUAAAAAUGUGGGGUCAAAGAAUGCAAGUGGAUUCAAAGGCCAUUUACAGAGGAAGAUGUAGUGGACGCACACAGGCAAUUUGAUGGGGAUAAAGCCCCUGGCACCUGAUGGAUUCAACAUGUCCUUUAAAAAAGGUUGACAGGACUGAUAUAAAUGAAAACAUUGGAAUUUUUUUAUCAGGAAUUGAAGGCACAUUUGAGAGGAGUUUCACUGCUACUUUCAGAGCUCUCUUUAAGAGAAGAGGAAAUGGAGAUUAAUGACUUUAGACCUAUAGCAUCCUAGUACCAUUUACAAACUCAUUGCAAAGUGCUUGCCGAAAGAUUGAAGACAUAUGAUAAGCAAACUCAUUACAGGCAACCAAAAUGCCUUCAUUAAAAGUAGACAGAUUUGGGUUUGUUUUUUUUUCAUGUUCGGUAAGUAAGAAAAUAUUAUUCUAAAAAUAUUUAUACGUAAUAAUUAUAUCAUAUCAUAUAUUAUUAUAAGUGGAAAAGAGUUUAAGUCAAAAGUUGAAUUACGAAAAUACCCCUAAACUAAUUUUUUUCCAUUAAAAAGUAUCUUUUACUAACUUUUAAAAUAAAAUCAAUAAUUACAUUUUCUCUAGCUACUUCCGUUUAUUUGCAUUAAUAAAAAAUUUCAAUUAAAAGUAAAAACACCUUUAAGGCAUUUUCUUUCAGAGAUCACAAUAAAUAUUGACUCUUCAUUAUUUUUCUUCAACUCUCGAACUUUUGCUCUUCUAACUUCCAAACUUUUGGCCUCCCAAUUCAAUAAAUCACUACAUAUACUUAACUCUCAUGCUUUUGCUCUUCUAACUUCCAAACUUUUGGCCUCCCAAUUCAAUAUAUCACUACAUAUACUUAUAACUUUUUAAAUCAUUUCACCUUGUAGUAGAUUUUAAUUUUAAAGCUGCUGAUUUUUUUUUCUAUUGGGCUGUAUCAGGUAUUGUUUCAUUUGUAAUAAAGAAAUUUUGUUUGCUUUAUUGAUUCUUGUAAUUUUUCAUAAUAAUUUCUUCUUCUUCCAUUGAUUAUCAGGAUUUCAAUAAAGAUUAUUUUCUCAGUUAUUUAUGUUUUUCAUUUGUUAUUGAUAAAGUAUGUUUGCUUCAUCAUGUAUGAAAUUGAUUUAAUUUGUGUUUCAGUUGCAUUGAUAUUCUUUAUUACAUAAAGAAUAAUUUUAUUUUUAUUUUUGUUUGAUUAGAUAAAAAUAAUCUUAAUUAUUAUACUGAAGAAAAAUAAUGUUACACCUUGUGCACCAAUAAAGCCAUACGUACAAGUAAAUAAAUACAGUAUAUUUUUGUUUGUAUCAUUGUAACUUUUUUUUUUGGCACAAUUAUUGUAAAUUUUUAUUUUAGUUUUGUACCAUUUGUUAGCAAGGAAUAGAUGUCUCAGUUCUAAGCAAAAUAUUUGGCAGAUUUAGAUGGUAAAAUUUAAAUUUUGAUACAAUUUAUUUUGUUAAAUUGAAAUUUGUAAGUUAAUUAUAUACGUCAAAGAACUUAAAUCAAACUCUUUUUUUCAUUUCUUCCAUUUCCGGAAGUUGAUUUGAAUGAUGAAUUGAGAUAUGAUUAUUUCUUACGCAAAAAUUAGUUAAACAUUAAAUAACUUUUUUAGUAUCGAAUACGUCCGUAACUUGACAUAGGUGAAAUUCAAGUAAACAAUCCAAAAAAUAUAUUUUUCUUUUCUUUUUGAUCAUUUUUUGUUAUGUCAACACACUGUGUUAAUUUAUUUUUAUUUAUUUAUUCAAUAUAAUAAUAAUGAAAAAAAGUAUGUUUUAACUAUAAUAAGUGAAUGUAUACUUUAUUUGUAGCUUCUAUUUUAUAAAAAUGAAAUUUGUGAUUUAAUAUUAUGUCAAAUAAUUAAAAUUAAUAUAUUUAAUCUUCAUUGCGGUUCUUUUAUUUUCAAAAAUUAAUUAGAAUAGGAGAACCAUUUUCAUAAGUUAAUUGUAAUAUAAAAAGAAAAUUAUUUUGAUUAUUGAUUCUUGUGUGCUAUAUAGUACUUAAUGUUUGUUAUCUACAAUUUCACUUUUAUAAUAUUUUUAUAUUUGUUGAAUAUAAACUUUUCACAUUUAGCUAUGGUUUGCAUUAAUUUAUUUAUUAUUUAAGUUUUUUUUCCCAAUAGUAUGAUGACAUGUUUAUCUUAUUGCUUUUCACGUUAAUUGGGUUGAUAUUACAAAUAUUUUUUUAUGUUAAAAAUGGAAGGUUUUAAAUUCAAAGUUGGAUUACGAAAAUGCCUUUCUCUAUAUUUUUUAAUUAAAAAUUUACUUUUUUCUAACUUUUAUAAUCAAAUCAAUAAUGAUAAUUAAUAUAUUAUUUAUUAGAAAGUUUAUGUUAAAAUGUUGAACUUUAUUAUAUGCUUUUGAAAUAAACCUAUAAUGACACUUCCACUUUAUUAUAUGUUUUUCAAAUAAACAUGUAAUGACACUUCCAUGAAUUAUAAAAAGAGUUUUUCUGACUCUAUUUUAUAUUAUUUAUUUUCACCAAAUUUCUUACAUUACAUGGCUUUAAUGGACGAACUUGGUGGACACAAUAAGAUAAAUAAAUUAGAAAUAUGAGUUGGGACGGUAUAAAAUUUAAUAUAAUGAUAGGGGUCAAGCAUACAACGCACGUUCCUAGUGUGUAUAUAUAUAUAUAUAUAUAUUAAAAUUUAUCUUUUUUUAUAUGCAUUUACUUUUUGUACCUUAUAAUUUUUUAUUUAUAUUGUUUUCUCUUUUUCUACCAUACUGUUAAUAUAUCACAAAUGAUUGUGUUGUAUUUCAUAAUUCAAUUAUAUGUAUAUAGUUUGAUAAAAAUUUCUUUUGUCAAAAUUUACAGAUGACAGAAUUAAUAAUUUUGAAUGAGCCAAAGAAGACGAAGGGUACAUAUACAUGUAAUUAUUAUUUAUAUAUGUCAAUUAAAUAUUUAAACAAUGAUUAUUUUAUAACAAAUAAAUACCUUUUUUUGUAGGUUUAGACUAUGAAAUUGAUAAUGAUCUACUAGCCAUCCUAAGGAAGACAUAUGUUGAUCGAAUUUCUCUACAACUAUUACAAAACACCACUCUCCUUCAACGACAAGUUCUCGAUAUGUAUGCAUUUGUAAAAAAGUGGAGGGUAUUCCUUAAAAAGAAGGUGGAAACUUUAAGGCAUUAAAUCUUUUGCUAUAAUGUCGACAUUUAAAUUAUGUGUUGUAACAUAUUAAAAAACGAACUUUUAACAAGUUGAAUACUUGAUAUAUUAUAAGAAUUGUAUAAUUGAAGUCAUUAUAGUAUUAGUUUUGCAAUUCACUUGAUAACAAUAUUUUUGUAUGAUGUGCCUUGCAAUGAUCAUAAUAUCAGUUGAAUAUGCUCACCGUUCAUUGAUUUGAGCUUGUAUUUUACACAUCGUACACUUAUAAUUUAGAAGUAUUUAUACUAAUUAGCACGAUCUACACGUGCAACGCACGUGUUCAAAACCUAGUUAAAAACUAUAAGGGUGGAAUAGUCAAGAGUGAGAAUUGAUGGGUAGAGUGGAGAUAAUGAAUUUGGAAGGUUACUUAUGAAACUUUUGUUUCCUACUUUCAUUCCUGCAAAUGACCCUAUUUUAGGUGGUCUUUAUUUUUCCCCCUCAAAUUGAUGGUCUUUAAUUUUUGUCUUUUGGACACUUUUAAGCAAAAUAAGUGGCCGAAAAGCCUGAAAAAAAUAAAAUAAAAUAAAUAAAUAAAUUGCAAUACACUAGUUAUGCCUUUCAAGGUAUAAGCUAAUUAGUUUCAGAAUAUUAAGACUUAAAAAGUUCUUAACUACAAAUUAUGGCACUUAAUUCCUACGGAACUUUUUUGAACAAUAUAAAACUUCUCUAAACAUUUACCUUGUGAAAUUAGGUCAUAGUUAAGGAUAUUUUGUCCACAAAUUUUCAUUAAAUGAGAAGCAAAGACAAAAAUUUAAAACCAUCCCAAAAUAUGAGCAAUUCGUAAAAAACAACUUGAAGUCAUUUUCCUCAUUUUUAAGAAACUCUGCAUUUCCAUUUCCAACAUCAUUAAGAAAAAGGUAAACGCCAAAGUGUUCUCUUCAAGUUGGAACUUUCUCAUGGGGACCAAAUGUCACGUCCCGAGCCUACACCCUGGGCGUGGCCGGCACUCGACGACCAUUUCUGGCCCCGAGCGAACCCUUGGCUUGGCUACUUAACUCAGCGGAAACUUAAUUCAACAGAAUAACUCCAUGCAAUGAAAGGUCAUAAAACAACCUAACUGAUAAAAUCUGGCUAAAAAGGUAACUCGUGUCUCAAAAUAGAAUAUUUAUAUAUAUACAUAAAGAUGAGAGACUUAAUACUAACUGACUGACUGUCUGUGAACUCUAUAACACUGAGAUGGAUGUUGGGACAGACCCCGCAACAUCCUAACAAAGCAAAACUAGGAAACAAAAUAAUAGAGUCCUCCGGAAAGCAAGGAGGCUCACCACUGACUCUGGAGUGCUCAGCUGGAACAACGGCGUGCUGGAUGCUAAUCCUGGGUACCUGCGUCUGGAUCAUCAUAAGAUGCAGGCCAACUGGCAUCAGUACAUUGAAUGUAUGAGUAUGCGAGCUGGAAAGCUAAACAACAACUUAAGCUUGAAAGGAGUACAAAGGAACACUUACCUUGGCUCUGUUCAACUCAUGAAUAACUAAACCCAAUAUAAAGCAAUAAGACACAUGCAAUAUAUAAAGCUUGUAAAACAAUGUAAACAACUUAGUUCGUUAAGGAUAAAACAAUAACAAACUCAACUUUACUUAUAUAAAAGUAAUAUAACUUUAGUGGGAGAUUCUUUAACCGACAACCACCACUAUGAGCCAUAGUGACGAUACAACGUUUUACAUCACGUUGCCCAAUGAACAUCCUACACCUUGCCGUGAUAUAGGACCUUACUUAACUUAGUGGAUCCACUAGCUUAAUCUUACGUGAUCAUCUAAAAAGAAUGACCCGUUAAGUCCCAUGUUUGGCUACAUGGUUCUUAUGGAGAGUUGAGUUAAUAUGAACUCGUGUCCCCAAUUCGGUGCUUAAGACUACUCCCAAAAUAUACUUUAGCUCAUAUGUGUUUUAAACACCUCUUUCUUUAGUUUGAGAUAAUUACUCAAAAUCUAGUCCAAAGGCUCACUUGGAAAACAUAGUUCCUUUCUUACUCAAAUGUAAAAACAUUUAUAAACUUCUUUGGGAAUACUUAGUUCCCUAAUAACUUUUGAGAAAUGAACUCAACUCUAUACUCUUUACUUUACUUGAAACUCUAUACUCUUUACUCAACUUGAUACAAUGAAGACUCUUGAAAAACUUUAAAGACUUGCUUUGACUUACUUCUUAACUUCUAAGCUUGACUCUAACUUCACUUGACUUUGAUCCUAACUUUCCUUGAAUUGGAUUAUGAAUUCAAGGGUAAUGAUCUCAUGUUUAUGGAUGAGUUCUUGAUGUUUAGAUGUACCUUAGAGUGUUGAAAACAACUAUAAAACAUAGGUACAUUACCAAGGAACAUGUAUGAAAAAGUGGGGAAUGAAUGGGGAGACUUGGCAUCCUUGGCGCUCUGAGAGGCGCGGGGCGGCAGACCUCAAAGUUCAGACAGCCUGGUGUUGCGCUCUGCAUGGCGCGCCGCCCCAAGGAGGGAACUUCAGAGUCCCUUUUGGGGCGCGCUGGCUAGAGCGACGCCCCAGCCUUUGCCCCCGAAAAUCCGACCUUUCUCCCUUGUUUUUCCAACUCUAAACCUUCUUAACUUCAAAGGUUCCAGCCCCAAACACUUAGAAUCAUAAAACCACUCAACAUACAAUAGAUUCAACUCGAAAACACAACCGGAAACAUGUCCCAAAUCAACAAGAACUUCAACACAACCACAAGACUUCAACAAACACAACCAAAAUCUUUUCUCGGAAAUUAAAACGAGUUUGGUGUCUGGGGGAUGAACCAACCCAACACUAUGAUCUCACAUACCUUAAUAGGGAUCACCCCCUACGAAAACUACGACGAUCUUUACGGACUUUGCUUCUUCUUCUCCUUCUCCUCUUCUUUCUCUCUUCACUCACAACCCUAACACUCACCUUUUAAAUGGGAACACUGAUUUAAAAUCAGUCUAAAUCCUUAAUAUAACCAAAAGAAAUGGUUAGGGAAAAGACCAAAAUACGCUUACAAAAUUCUGAUUGAAUUCUCUGAGCCAACAACCCAACUUCCAAAGAGCAUAACUCACUCAUACGAACUCAGAAUCGAGAAAUCUCGGUGGCGUUGGAAAGAUCAUUCCAAGGGCUUUGCAAACAUAACAGGAAAUACACCUAAUUCAUCCUGAGCUAGGAGUUAUGACUGUUCAAAGUUGACCAAAAACUCAUUUUUUUCCCAUACUUGAACCAAAUUUCCAGAUUUUUGAAUUAUUCCCAAAAAUGACUAUUUGCAAUUUCAAGCUUCUUCAUAGUUAUUUCAAAUUGCAAGAUGUCACAAAUCUCCCCCUUGGGAACAUUCGUCCUCGAAUGAGACUAUUCUUACUAGGCUAAGGGUGUAACAUCAAACUCAAACGCCCAACAAGCAACCAUGCAAACAACAACAACAACAACAACAACAACAAUAUGCUCACUAUAAUUUAAAGAGCACUAAGAAAAUAUUUCUAAUUGAAGGCACAUUUGAGAGGAGUUCGACUGCAACUUCCAGAGCUCUCUUUAAGAGAAAGAGGAAAUGGAGAUUAAUGACUUUAGACCUAUAGCAUCCUAGUACCAUUUACAAACUCAUUGCAUGCAACCAAAAAUGCCUUCAUUAAAAGUAAACAGAUUUGGGGUUUUUUUUUUUCAUGUUCGGUAAGUAAGAAAAUAUUAUUCAAUUCCUCUUCUUAUUGUAUUCUGUGCCCUUCGUUUUUUAUUUUGUUCAAAAAUUAACAAAUGCCCAUCGAUUUUUAAAGUGCAAACUACCGUUUAAGAAUAUAAAUAAAAAUAAUAAAAGCCUAUAAUUAUUGUAUUUUGUAUUUACAUGGUACAUAAAAUAAAAUAAAAAGAGUUAAGAAUCAAACUUGAACACUAUUUGAAAUAAAGCAUACCUUCAUGAAAAAUGUGGAUUUUAAUGAAUUGCCACUAGCAUGGUCCUUGAGCCUCCUCCCUUAUUUAUUUUGUAUCAAACUUUAUUAAUACUACCAUCAUUUUUCUUUUUCUCAUUAAUAUUUCCUCCAUCAUGACUUCUAUUUGGCUAGUAACUCUUGCAUUAGUUGCAAUAAUAUUCCUUGUGAAAGAAUUCAUGAAGAGAAAAGAACUUCCUCCUGGUCCAAUAGGGCUUCCACUUCUUGGAAAUCUUCAUAUGUUUGGUGAAAAUCUUCACCAAGAUCUUUAUAAAAUAGCCAAGAAAUAUGGUCCAAUAAUGACCAUAUAUUUUGGUCUUGUUCCUACUAUUAUUGCUUCUUCUCCUCAUGCAGCACAACAAUUCUUAAAAAACCAUGACCAAAUUUUUGCUAGUAGACCAUACCAUGCAGCAUGUUAUUACAUUUUUUAUAAACAAAGAAAUUUGAUCAUGGGAAAGUACGGACCUUAUUGGAGACAUAUGCGUAAAUUAUGCACUCAACAAUUGUUAAGCAAUGUCAAGAUCAAUUCAUUUCAAUCUAUGAGGAAACAAGAGCUUCAAAUUCUUGUGAAUUUCCUCGAAAAAGCAGCUUCAAAUCGCGAUGUGGUUGAUCUUAGCGCUAAACUUGCAUCUCUUAGCGCUAACAUGGCUUGUCUUAUGGUAAUUGGAAAGAAAUAUAACAAUGUAGAUGGGGAUUUCAAAGAUAUGGUCAAAGAGACGUCGCGUAUGGCAGCAACGCCAAAUCUUGCUGAAUUAUUUCCCUUUCUUCGUUUUAUUGAUUUCCAGGGAUCGAUUCAUCGUAUGAAACAAAUAGCUAAGAGUUGUGAUGAAUUUUUGGAGAAUGUUAUUGAUGAACAUGCUCGACAAUAUUCGAGUGACCAGUCGAAAACUAGUACAGAUAUGGUUGAUACAUUGAUGGAAAUUAUGCAAUCUGGAGAAGCUGAAUUCGAGUUUGAUCGUAGACAUGUCAAAGCUAUUUUGUUGGUAACGUCAUAUCAAACUUCUUGAGACUCCAAAGUGUUUAUUUUAUAAUUCAUAUAGCCAAAUCUAUCUAGCUUGGGAUUGAAGCGUGCAUGUUUGUUCAUAAUGUAAAUGUUACAAUAACAUAUCUUUUCGAAAUGUACACCAAGAUCACUUUGAUGUUGUUGGUAUUUGAUUUAAUAUUUUUUCUAUAUUUCACCAAUUAGGUUGAAGAAAUUACAAUAGUUGUGUCUACUUGAUUUAGAUCUAAAUAUAUUGAUCUUUGGUGACAAAGUUUUCACAAUCACUAAAUAUUUUUUUUUCAAUAUACAGGACUUGUUGGUAGCUUCAAUGGAUACUUCAUCAACAUCAAUUGAAUGGAUUUUAUCAGAACUUUUCAGACAUCCUAAUGUAAUGAAGAAACUUCAAAGUGAGUUGGAUUAUGUAGUUGGCCAAAAGGGGAUUGUAGAAGAAAAAGACCUAGAAAACCUAGAUUACUUAAACAUGGUCAUAAAAGAAGGCUUUAGGCUCCAUCCAGUUGCACCCUUAUUACUUCCACAUGAGUCAAUUGAAGAUUGCACACUUGAUGGAUUUCACAUACCUAAAGGAUCUCGAGUUUUGGUUAAUGUUUGGGCAAUCGGAAGAGAUCCAGAUGUUUGGCAUGAGCCUGAAAAGUUCAUACCAGAGAGGUUUGUUGAAAGUACUAUUGAUGUUCGAGGACAAAAUUUUCAACUUCUGCCAUUUGGUUCUGGCAGAAGAAGUUGUCCUGGUUUACAGUUAGGACUUACCAUUGUUCGUUUGGUGGUAGCUCAAUUAGUUCACUCCUUCGAUUGGGAGUUUCCAAAUGGUAUGAUGUCAUGUGAUAUUAACAUGACUGAGAAAUUUGGUUUGGUAACAGCUAGAGCUCUAUCUCUAAUGGCUAUUCCUAUUUAUCGAGUAAAAUGAAGUAUCUAUUUUCCGUAUUUUCAGUGUAAGUGUAUGUGUGGAAACAUUAUUAUAUUGUACAACUUGUUAGUUUCAUUUUAGUUUUGAAAUUCAAUAAUCUCUUGCUAAGAAAAUAAUGACAGUAUUCUUCCUCUUCUAAGGGAUAUGAUUGUCGUUCAAUAAUGAUUUCCUUAAAUCAUAUAUUAUUAUAAUUGGGAAGAGUUUAAGUCAAAAGUUCAAUUACGAAAAUACUCUUACACUAAUUUUUUCCAUUAAAAAAGUAUCUUUUACUAACUUUUAAAAUCAAAUCAAUAAUUACAUUUUCUCUAGAUACUUUUGUUUAUUUGCAUUAAUAAAAAAUUUCAAUUAAAAGUAAAAACACCUUUAAGGCAUUUUCUUUGAAAGAACACAAUAAAUAUUAGCUCUUCAUUAUUUUUCUUCAACUCUCAGGCUUUUGCUCUUCUAACUUCCAAACUUUUGGCCUCCCAAUUCAAUAUAUCACUACAUAUACUUAUAACUUUUUAAAUCAUUUCACUUUGUAGUAGAUUUUAAUUUUAAAGCUGCUGAUUUUUUUUUUCUAUUGGGCUGUAUCAGGUAUUGUUUCAUUUGUAAUAAAGAAAUUUUGUUUGCUUUAUUGAUUCUUGUAAUUUUUCAUAAUAAUUUCUUCUUCUUCGAUUGAUUAUCAGGCUUUCAAUAAAGAUUAUUUUCUCAGUUAUUUAUGUUUUUCAUUUGUUAUUGAUAAAGUAUGUCUGCUUCAUCACGUAUGGAAUUGAUUUAAUUUGCGUUUCAGUUGCAUUGAUAUUCUUUAUUACAUAAAUAAUAAUUUUAUUUUCUAUUUUUGUUUGAUUAGAUACAAAUAAUCUUAAUUAUUAUUCUGAAGAAAAAUAAUGUUACACCUUGUGCACCAAUAAAGUCAUACGUAGAAGUAAAUAAAUACAAUAUAUUUUUGUUUGUAUCCUUAUAACUUCUUCUUUUUUUGGCAUAAUUAUUGUAAAUUUUUAUUUUAUUUUUGUACCAUUUGUUAGGAAGGAAUAGAUGUCUCAGUUCUAAGCAAAAUAUUUGGCAGAUUUGGAUGGUAAAAUUUAAAUUUUGAUUCAAUUUAUAUUGUUAAAUUGAAAUUUAUAAGUUAAUUAUAUACGUCAAAGAACUGAAGUCAAACUCUUUUUUUCAUUUCUUCCAUUUCCGGAAGUUGAUUUGAAUGAUGAAUUGAGAUAUGAUUAUUUCUUACGCAAAAUUAGUUAAACAUUAAAUAAUUUUUUUAGUAUCGAAUAUGUCCGUAACUUGACAUGGGUGAAAUUCAUACAAUCCAAAAAAAUAUAUUUUUCUUUUCUUUCUGAUCAUUUUUUGUUAUGUCAACACAGUGUGUUAAUUUAUUUAUUCAAUAAAAUAAUAAUGAAAAAAGUAUGUAUCAACUAUAAUAAGUGAAUGUAUACUUUGUUUCUAGCUUCUAUUUUAUAAAAAUGAAAUUUGUGAUUUAAUAUUAUGUCAAAUAAUUAAAAUUAAUAUAUUUAAUCUUCAUUAUUGCGGUUCUUUUAUUUUCAAAAAUUAAUUAGAAUAGGAAAACCAUUUUGAUAAGUUAAUUGUAAUAUAAAAAGAAGAUUAUUUUGAUUAGUGAUUCUUUUUUUUUUUGGAUGAUGAUUAUUGAUUCUUGUGUGCUAUCUAGUACUUUAAUGUUUGUUAUCUACGGUUUCACUUUUAUAAUAUUUUUAUAUUUGUUGAAUAUAAACUUUUCACAUUUAGAUAUGGUUUGCAUUAAUUUAUUUAUUAUUUAAGUUGUUUUUCCCAAUAGUAUGAUGACAUGUUUAUCUUAUUGCUUUUCACGUUAAAUGGGUUGAUGUCACAAAUGUUUUUUUAUGUUAAAAGUGAGAGGUUUUAAAUUCAAAGUUGGAUUACGAAAAUGCCUUUCUCUAUAUUUUUUUAAUUAAAAAAUUACUUUUUUCUAACUUUUAUAAUCAAAUCAAUAAUGACAAUUAAUAUAUUAUAUAUUAGAAAGUUUAUGUUAAAAUGUUGAACUUUAUUAUAUGCUUUUGAAAUAAACCUAUAAUGACACUUCCACUUUAUUAUAUGUUUUUCAAAUAAACAUGUAAUGACACUUCCAUGAAUUAUAAAAAGAGUUUUUCUGACUCUAUUUUAUAUUAUUUAUUUUCACCAAAUUUCUUACAUUACAUGGAUUUAAUGGACGAACUUGGUGGCACACAAUAAGAUAAAUAAAUUAGAAACAUGAGUUGGGACGGUAUAAAAUUUAAUAUAAUGAUAGAGGUCAAACGUGCAACGCACGUUCCUAGGAUAUAUAUAUUCAAAUUUAUCUUUUUUUUAUAUGCAUUUAUUUUUUGUACCAUAUAAUUUUUUAUUUAUAUUGUUUUCUUUUUUUCUACUAUACUGUUAAUAUAUCACAAAUGAUUGUGUUGUAUUUCAUAAUUCAAUUAUAUGUAUAUAACUUAAUAAAAAUUUCUUUUGUCAAAAUUUACAGAUGACAUAAUUAAUAAUUUUGAAUGAGCCAAAGAAGACGAAGGGUACAUAUACAUGUAAUUAUUAUUUAUAUAUGUCAAUUAAAUAUUUAAACAAUGAUUAUUUUAUAACAAAUAAAUACCUUUUUUUGUAGGUUUAGACUAUGAAAUUGAUAAUGAUCUACUAGCCAUCCUAAGGAAGACAUAUGUUGAUCGAAUUUCUCUACAACUAUUACAAAACACCACUCUCCUUCGACGACAAGUUCUCGAUAUGUAUGCAUUUGUAAAAAAGUGGAGGGUAUUAUUCCUUAAAAAGAAGGCGGAAACUUUAAGGCAUUAAAUCUUUUGCUAUAAUGUCGACAUUUAAAUUAUGUGUUGUAACAUAUUAAAAAAAGAACUUUUAACAAGUUGAAUACUUGAUAUAUUAUAAGAAUUGUAUAAUUGAAGUCAUUAUAGUAUUAGUUUUGCAAUUCACUUGAUAACAAUAUUUUUGUAUGAUGUGCCUUGCAAUGAUCAUAAUAUCAAUUGAAUAUGCUCACCGUUCAUUGAUUUGAGCUUGUAUUUUACACAUCGUACAUUUAUAUUUUAAAAGUAUUUAUACUAAUUAGCACGAUCUACACAUGCAACGCACAUGUUCGAAACUAGUUAAAUACUAUAAGGGUGGGAUGGUCAAGAGUGAGAGUUGAUGGGUAGAGUGGAGAUAAUGAAUUUGGAAGGUUACUUAUGAAACUUUUGUUUCCUACUUUCAUUCCUGCAAAUGACCCUAUUUUAGGUGGUCUUUAUUUUUCCCCCUCAAUUUGAGGGUCUUUAAUUUUUGUCUUUUGGACACUUUUAAUCAAAAUAAGUGGCCGAAAAGCCUGAAAUAAAAUAAAAAAAAACCAAAAAAAUAAAUAAAUUGCAAGACACUGGUUAUGCCUUUCAAGGUAUAAGCUAAUUAGUUUCAGAAUAUUAAGACUUAAAAAGUUCUUAACCACAAAUUAUGGCACUUAAUUCCUACGGAACUUUUUUGAACAAUAUAAAACUUCUCUAAACCUUUACCUUGUGAAAUUAGGUCAUAGUUAAGGAUAUUUUGUCCAUAAAUUUUCAUUAAAUGAGAAGCUAAGACAAAAAUUUAAAACCAUCCCAAAAUAUGAGCAAUUCGUAAAAAAAAACUUGAAGUCAUUUUCCUCAUUUUUAAGAAACUUUGCAUUUCCAUCUCCAACAUCAUUAAUAAAUAGGUAAACGCCAAAGUCUUCUCUUCAAGUUGGAACUUUCUCAUGGGGACCAAACACAAGUCUUCCAUUGGCUUGGGACCCAAAGGAGUAAUAUUGGUAAUGAGAAGGCCACAGAACUUCAAGUAGCUAGAUGGUUUAAUUGCAUUUACUCUUAUACAUAAUACUAAUAGUGAAGUCUCAGCUUUACCUGAGUAAUACACAAAUAUCUAAAGGAAACUCUCAGCUUAAAUAUUUUAUAUUAAUCCUUGUAAUUAUCAUUCUGCAAACAUGCAAUGCUAAGAAGAGCAAACACUACUACUGUCCCCCUUCUGCUUGUGACCAUGUGAUCCGUAACAUAAGCUUACCAGCUUUUUGCUGGAACACCGACUCAGAACAUUGCGGAGAUGAUAAUCAAACAUUUUCCUUUCUGAUUUGUGGAUUGCAGAGCCCAUCUUCAUGUUCAACUCUCCAUUUGCUGUUAAUAACUCGAUAUUUGUGGAAAUUAGUGCCUGCAAAUUAAGCAGAUACACUUAUUUAAAGAUUGGAGAAAUGAGUGCCUUUGAAGUCAGUGAUGGAUGCAGAGUGGAAUUUAUAGGCUUGACCUCAUGGCCUAAUAUUAAAGAUGCAGAGAACAGCAUUUCCCUUUCUGAUUUUCAUCAAGCAGUCCUCGCUUCGUUAUUAUCUGCGGAAUUCUCCACUAAAGAUAAGUAAGGACAUCAAUUAUAUAUGCUAUGCUCCUUAAUUUUUGUAGUAAUACUUCCUUCCGUGGUAAGUUUUUAUAUAAUAUUAUGCUUACAUCUUCUUCUUUUUUUAAUAUUUGUUUUCUUAACCUAAUUUUUGUCAAUAUAAAAAUUAAUGAUUUAACUAAAUCUCCCUUUAUCAUAUAUUAUUUAAUUUAAUUAAUUUUAUAACAUCUUUUUAUUCAAUUUAUCAAAAAAAACUAACUUCGCAAAGCAAACAAUUUUUUUAUUCAGUAUAAACAUGCAUGUCACACUAAAUAAUAUCAUAUUAAAAUACUAGUAUCAAAUAUUCAAUCCACAAGUUUAAAAUGAAAUUUCAAUUAAAAACCAAGGAAGCAUGAUUAUAUUACCGAAGAGGUUAUAAGUGGAAAUAUUUUUUGAAAAAUUAUAGGUUUGUUGUCUUCUUUUAUUUAUUUUUACUAUUUUGCUGUCGUGUUUCCUCAAUAUUUUUAAUAGGGUAAUAGUUAUUGAUAUGAAUAUUUUAAAAAUCCAUUUCAUAAAUUAUUAUUUUUUGUUUGCAAUAAGACCAAACUGAAAAAUUACUUGAAGAGACGAAGCCGGAGCCAAGUACAUUAAUGCUUAAUGCUUGGACAGUUGAGUUAAUAUUAAUUAAGUUAAGAAAAUUAUUGUUAAAACAAAAGAGGCAAACAUAAUAUUAUUAACUACAACGGAAGUAAGUAUUAUGAAACUAAACUUGAAGGGUAGUUUGUGCAAUUAUCUCUUUUAUCUUUUGAUUAUAAUGAUUUUGUAGAAAAAUAAUUUAACAUGAGUGAUUUUAUAAAAGAAAAUUCAUAAGUUGAAUGACUUUAUUGAUACAAAAUUAAGUUGAGUACUUUCUUAAAUAAUUUCACAUACUUGAGUGAUCUUUUGAGAUAUUUAUUCUUUGAAUCGUUGGCAUUUACCUAUCUAAUGAGCUAUUAAAUUUAUCUUUUGAGGUCUACAAUUUUCUUCUGCCCAUAAUUUCCAAUUACUAGCAAACAAGGUAGUCUUGAACGACUUAUCUAGUCCACAAAUUCCACAUAUUGGAUAUCCCCUACCACAAACAAUUUCUUAUAUUUGAAAAUUCAGGCCUAAGAAUAUCAAAUUUAACUCAUGAAAAUAUAAAUCAUGUAAUUCGUCCAAACUUAAUUGAAGAGGGUUAGACUGGGCAUAGAUCAAGUCAGCACAUCUAAAAGACUGGAAUGAUUUGGGAUGUAUAUAUAGCCUUAGAUUGAUGCAUGGAAACAAAAAACUAAUUAGUUUUAUUUUGUAGUCAAACAAAUUUAUAAAGGUAUAAAACAACAAAAAGAAAAAUCAUAUUGAGUUUGGACAAAUUGGGUUAUAAUGGAUUGUUUUUGCCCGAAUUCAGCCACCCAUCUUGACCCGAGCAAACGUCACUACACAUAUUAUGGUCAUAAAUAUAUAGGUAAACGGCAAAGUGUUCCUCUUCAUCAAAUUGCAACUUUCUCAUCAACGACCAAACACAAGUCUUCCAUUGUUAAUGAAAAGUCCACACCAGUGGCGGAGCCACCUUAUUGCUAGGGGUUCAUCCGAAUCCCCUUCGGCAGAAAAUUAUAGCAUUUAUACAUGGUUAAAAUAAUUUUUUAGGUGUAUAUUGUAGACGUCGAACCCCCUUCGGCUACUUCGUGUGUUUAUUUUUUCAGAUUUCGAACCCUCUUAUUAAAAAUCCUGGUUCCGCCACUGGUUCAAGUAUCCAACAAACACACCAACAUUCUUUUCUUCUCUUGGAAAUAGUAGAAAUUAAGAGAGUACAAAUGUAUUUGUGUAGGGGAACCAUUCUGCAUAAAUAUUUUACGUUAAUCCUUGUAAUCCAUAUUGGGCCCGUGUCAUGGUCAUUUCCUCUAGUUUUAAAAGAGGUUUAAGUGGAUUAUUUUUUUAAAAUAACUAAAUAGCAUAUUGUAAACAUUUUAAAAGAGGUUUGAUAUUUUAUUAUUUUUCAAAAUUUGAUUUUAAAUAAAAAAAAAUCCAUGUAAACAAAUUCUAAUGAAAAAAGAUAAUUAAAUAGAUUGAGUGACUUUUGAAGUAAAAAUCAAAAUUGAAUAACUUUAUAAGUAAAACACUUAUAAUUAUUGAGUAACUUUUGGAGUAAAAUGAAAUUAAGUGAUUUUCGUGAUAAACUUCCAUAUUUGAGUGAGCAUUGAUGAUAUUAAGUCUUAAUAAAUAGGUAAACGGUAAAGUCUUCCUGUUGAGGGCCCUUUCAUCAAAUUGCAACUUUCUCAUCAACGACCAAACACAAGUCUUCCAUUGUUAAUGAAAAGUCCACACCAGUGGCGGAGCCACCUUAUUGCUAGGGGUUCAUCCGAAUCCCCUUCGGCAGAAAAUUAUAGCAUUUAUACAUGGUUAAAAUAAUUUUUUAGGUGUAUAUUGUAGACGUCGAACCCCCUUCGGCUACUUCGUGUGUUUAUUUUUUCAGAUUUCGAACCCUCUUAUUAAAAAUCCUGGUUCCGCCACUGGUUCAAGUAUCCAACAAACACACCAACAUUCUUUUCUUCUCUUGGAAAUAGUAGAAAUUAAGAGAGUACAAAUGUAUUUGUGUAGGGGAACCAUUCUGCAUAAAUAUUUUACGUUAAUCCUUGUAAUCCUCUUUCUGCAAACAUGCAAUGCUAGGAAGAGCAAACACUACUGCCCCCCUUCUGCUUGUGGCCAGAUCCGUAACAUAAGCUACCCUUUUAGCUUAAACACUGAUCCAAAAGAUUGCCGUUUUCCAGGAUAUGAAUUAGGUUGUGAAGGUAACCAAACAGUACUAUCGCUUUUCUCCAAGAAGUUUCACGUUCAAGGCAUCGACUACGAUAAUAAGACAAUUCACUUGGCAGAUCCAACUUUACAAACACAAGGUGAUCUGUGCUCUUUCAGACCUAUGCAUAUCUUCUUCCACCAAUACUAUAGUAUCUUUGACACAUAUUAUCAUUAUCAUAAUGGAUUACAGCGUCCAAUGGCAGAGCCUAUCUUCAUGUUCACCGCCUACUUGAGAAUUUAAUGUAUAAGCUCCAAUAUUUUGGGAUUUUUGGACAAAAGAUUAGUAAGGACGGACUUCAAUUAUAUAUGCACUGCUUCUUAAUUAACAUUCUUUUCCAGUCCUAAGAAAUUAGGAAAACAAUGGAUUCACUUACUACAAUUUAAUUUCUUCAUUUCUUUGUAGGUGUUACUUUUCUCUACAUAUACUUUUAAUUCUGCAUUUAUAUCUCAUUCUAUAUUUUAUGCACUUUAAUCUAACCAGGGACCAGUCUACGGCCACUUCUGUAUUUCACGGAUAAGCUCCUAUAUGAUGGACAAAGGGGAUAAUUAACAUUCUUUUCCAUCCUCCAUAGGUAUGAAAUUAGGAAAAACAAUGUAUUCACUCACUACAAUUUUAUUUCUUUAUGUCUUUGUAGGUAUUAUUCAACAGAUUCUCAGUGAGGACUCAAACUUUUCUCCAUAAUAAUAUACUUUUAAUUCUCCAUUUAUCUCUCAUUCUAAUUUUUUUUCACUUUAAUCUAACCAGGAACCAGUCUGUCGCUACUUGUGUAUUUCAUGGGUAAGCUCCUAUAUAUAGUGUUAAUAGCAACUCCCACAAUCUAUCCCAUAAUGUUGUUAAUUCUUUUGUUCUUAAAUUUAGAAAAUUCAUUAUAUAUAAGAUCAUAUUACAUAUACCAUUAGAUGUUAUUAUUACCUUAGUUUUUAAAUAAGUUCAACAUUUCCUAUUUUGUAAAAUAAUUACUAAAAAUUAAAUGAUAUUGCUGUGUUUGCAUAGAGUGUUUGCAUAGAGAAAACAUAUACUUAGUAGAAUAUAUAUAAAAUUAGGCAGGUACAAAUUUUAUACAGGAGAGAAACGCGCAACACACAUUCGUAAAGACUAGUAAUUUAACGCAAGUGAGCACAACACAAAAAUUCUAAAAUAAAACAACUCGAAAUAUAUUAUUGUUGUUGUCUUAUGUAAGUGUGUGUGCAUAUAUAGAUAUAUACUAGUAAAGAAAGCCCAGGCAACAGGGGUAAAGUUAUAUUAUUGUUAUACAUUAUGUACCGUUAAAAAAUUAGUAUAGAUUGUUAUAAUAUAUUUUGCUCAGAAGUGAGCUAAUAUAGAAACUUAUUUGUCUUUUGUCUUUUUAAUUUCAAUUUCAAAUAACAAAUAAAUGUAGCAGAUUGAGGAUAGAAAUGAAACUUAUCUUUCUAAAUCUAAGUAAAAAUAAAUAGAGUAGAAGUAACUCAAUGGGACGGUUCGAUCGGUUAUUUUAAAAAAAUUAUAUGAUUUCAAUUUUUCGGCUAUUUUAUAAUGUAUAACCAAAAUUAAGUUUUUAAAAACUAUCCCAAUCCCAAUUUAUGUGACAAAAAUUAGCCUUUUUUGUUGUCUUUUAGAUAUUUUAAGUUAUUAAUUAUUAUAAUUUAUAGUACUUUUAUGUUAUUUUUAAUUAACAUAUGUUACUUUUUAUGUUCCAAUUUAUAUGAAUUGAUAAAAUUUCGUGAGUUCACCAUUUUUUUUAUAUGUAUUUUAAAUAUUUUAAGUUGUUAAUUAUUGUGAUUUAUAGUAAUUUUUAGAUUAUUCUCAAAUAAUAUAUGUUACUUUCUCAGUUCCAUUUUAUGAGGCACAAUUAAAUUUUCAGAGUCAACAAAAGUUUUAUAUCUUUUAAAUAUUCUAAAUUAUUAAUUAUCAUAAUAUAUAUUAUUAUUAUUUAUGUAGUUCUAAGAUGUAUAACAAAGUUUUAAAAAAAAAUAAGAAAAAAAAUAAAAACGAAAAAACAAAAAAUACCACGACAAUUAAACAGAUAAAGAAAGCAAUAAGGUGGUUCCAUGGUAAAGCAGGAGAAUGGGUCCCAUUAUGACAUAUAAACAUGGUCACAAACCAAAAGAAUACAAUUGUCCAAGCAGAGAAAAACAAAGAAGCAGCUUUAAAAGCAUGAAUUGACCACAAUAGCCUCAAGUUGAAUAACAAUUCCAAAUAGCAUACCUGAUGACGGAGAGUGGACUGCGAGUCCGGAGCCAAAAGGGUAAACAAAUUUAUCAAAAAUUCCAAAAGGGUGACAAAAUUUAUUUUAGAACCAAAAGGGCAACUUUGUAACGGUUGAACUAUCAUCGUUCAAAUUAGGUCGACCGCCGCAAGGCGCAGCCAUCUUUGUUUUGAUGAUGGUUGUGCCUUGCGGUUGUCGACCUAAUUUGAACGGUGUCAAAUUCACAGUUAGAAAAUUGCCUUUUUGGUUCAAUAAUCAAUUUUAUUGCCCUUUUGAAAUUUUUAACAAAUUUUCUUACCCUUUCGAUUACGGACUCAUGUUUAUUCUCCUUUCUUAGUAGUAAAAUAGUAAGUAAUAUAUAUAUAUAUAUAGUGUCAAUAGCAAUAUUUGUGAAAAAAGACUUCUCUUCAAAACUCAUAAUUUCUGAGAAGAAUAGAACGUCCGCAUAAGAAAAAGACAUCUCUAUUGGCUCAAGAGGAAGUUAACGUUAUGACUUCUUAAUCUUGCAACGUAUUUGGGCGCAGAAUUUGUAGUAGGCCUUCCAUUGGUAUUUGCAUUUCUGGUGAUCAAAUUCAGGAGGAGGCAUUUGUCCAUGUAUGAUGCGAUUGAAGGCUUUUUGCAAACACAAAACAAUUUCAUGCCAAUCAGAUAUAACUACACCCACAUAAAGAGAAUGACCAGAGGGUUCAAAGAGAAAUUAGGUAAGGGAGGUUACGGCAGUGUAUACAAAGGAAAGCUUCAAAGUGGAAGAGAUGUAGCAGUGAAAAUGUUGAGCAAGCCUAAAGCUGGUGGGCAAGAUUUCAUGAAUGAAGUAGCUACCAUCGGAAGGAUUCAUCAUGUCAACGUGGUUGGCCACACAACAUUCUUUUGGAUGAGAAUUUCAUUCCAAAGAUUUCUGACUUUGGGCUUGCAAAGUUAUAUCCAACAGAUAAUAGCAUUGUGACUCUCACAGCUGCUCGCGGAACGAUUGGAUACGUAGCUCCAGAGUUGAUCAACAGAAGCAUUGGAGCAAUCUCUUACAAAGCUGAUGUGUACAGCUUUGGAAUGCUGCUAAUGGAAAUGCUGGACUUGAAGAGACAUGAAGUUGCAAAUGAAGAGAAUUCCAGCCAAUAUUUUCCUUAUUAUAUUUACGAUAAGUUCAACAAGGGGAAGGAGAUCCUGGUGGAUGAAGAAGCAAAGGAUGAUGAAAAGAAGAUGGCUAGAAAGCUGAGUUUAGUUGCAUUAUGGUGCAUUCAGAUGAAUCCAAUACAACGCCCUUCAAUGAGUAGACUAUUAGAAAUGCUUGAAAGUGAAGUUGAAGUGCUAGAAGUACCUCCUCAGCCUCUUCAAUCUCAAUCGAUAGUUCAUCAGAUGAUGGGAAGUUCUAUGACAUUUUUGUCUGAUUCAAUGGCUUUGUUAGAAAAUUCUGUUGUUAAUGCCGUUGAAGUAGACAUUUGUUCUCAUUAGAAGUGUGUAUCGGUCGAUUCGGUUUGGUUUUAUGUAUUAUCGAUUUCGGUUUUAAAUAUGCUAACUCAAUAACAAACCAAUAAGAUAUAUAUUUAUCGGGUUUUGAUCGUUAUCGGUUUACCCAAUAAGAAAAUGUCCGUAAAAUAUUAUAUGACUUCUCACUUCUCUAAAUGCUUUGAUAUAGUGAAACAAGAAAGAUAAUGAGAAAUUGCAUCAAUAAGAAAAAAUAUAGUACGAGCUAUAAUUACAUGUCACUGCCAAACAUAGUAUGAAAUUUCUGAUGUUAAUCAAAUUACAAACCUUUACAAACUUGCAAAUGCUACAACCUACAAUUACAAACUAAAACUAAAACUAAAACUAAAAUCAAAUAGCUACAAUUGUGAACCUUUACUUUAGUCUUUAGGUUUUGAGUAAACAAUAAAGACUAGUAAAGCGGUCUAGUGUGAAGAGUACUAAUAAUUUGAUAUAGUUAUAGUCUCUAGUUAUAUAUUAAAUUAUUAGUAUUUAAUAUUUAGGAAGGGUAAAGUAGUUAUAUAGUACCGUCCUAUUGGGUUAUCGGUUUACCCAAUAACCCAAUAGUAAAAAUUGAAACCGAACCAAUAACCCAAUAACUUUGUUUUAUAAGCCCAUUAAAAACCCAAUAACCCAAUAACAUUUUUUCGGUUCGGGUUUUGCACACCCCUAGUUCUGAUUGAUUAUAUGCAGAGAAUAGCAAAAGAAGAGUAUAGUCAGGAAACCUUCUGCUAGCCCAAGAUCAUUAACUAAGAUCGAAAAACUCAACUAAAGAAGAGGAAGCUAGAAAAGAAAAAAAAAAUUUGGAUAGGAGAACUUUGUUAUGGAAGAACACUCUUGAAUUGCUUUCAAUUGGGUUUUGUUACAACUUACAAUGUCUAAUGCCACCCCUAUUUAUAGUUGCGUAGGGAUGAUUCUAGAUACUAAGAAUCUAGAAUGUUCUAACCUCUUCUACAAAUAUCUUCCUCAAAUAUCUAAUAUUCUAGACUAUCUAGAUUUUUCUCGAGUACAAAUAUCAAAAAUAUACUCUACAAAAUUCUAGAAAGUUCUACUAAAUAUCUAAGAUAUUUUUUGUACCUCUAAAAAAUCAACUUUAAUUUUUCACAUUAUAAUUGGGUAAUGUUCAUUCAAAAUGACAUAUAUGCGAGAAGGGCUUCACGUUUUACGGGGGUUUGGCCACAAAGUGAGAUUGAUGUAAUUCUUCCAUUUAGUGCCCGAUCAACAACCCAUUUUAGUUAAUUUUCUAUAUGUUAGUUCCUAACCUAUGGAUAAAUCAAUUUAAAAAGAAACUUCUAGAUUUCAUAGUGGGGCUCGACUUUUCUACUCGAUUUUUUAGCUGAACUUUUAUAUGGCAAUAUGGUCUGUACAGAGAUCCAGAGCUUAGAAGAAAUUGUGGAUACCAUGAGAAAAAGCAAUGUUGAUGAUGAAGUUGAAGAUGAUAUUAUACCUUUGGAACCAGUUACGCGUAAGAAAUCACUUAUCGCAUCUAGAACUCUUCACAAUUUUAUGGUGCAGUUCGAAAAGACAACACCAGAGCUCUUGGAUGCAAUAAGAAAAGUUAGAGAUGAGCUUAAACUAGAUUUAAAUUAUUUUUAAAAAAAAACACAAUAGAAUCAUAUUUCACUAAAUUGUCUUAGAUAUAGUUGUACUUUUAAAGAAUUAUUAAUUUAUGAUAUUAAUGGGACCAUAUAUUUAAAUAGGGGUCUUCUGGAAAUAUAUUAUCUUAUUAUCUUAUCGAAAUUGGUGAUUUUUUCCAUUGGCCCAAGUCGGGACCAGAGGAAAAUAUUACUUUAGAGAGAUUAUUAAUUUACCGAGUAUUAAUUUAUAGAGAUUUUACUGUACAUGAACUCAGGAAGGUGUGUGGAAAAAUCCGCACCACAAAAACUGAAUAGUUUCCUGUGUGGAAAAGUUCGCUCCACAAACUGAAUAGGUUCAAAGGGAAAAUAUUAAGAAAAAAAGUCUAUUUAGAUUGACUUAAAAGUUGAUCAAAUCUACUCAUUUUUAGUUUUUGGGAGUGUUUGACAAAAUCAAAAAUAAAUUUAAAAUGUCUUAAAAAAUAGUUAGAAGUAGCAGUUCCCUGCUUUUUAUUUAUUUGACUUGACAGUCAUUUAUGUUUGAAUUUUUUUUUUUUUUUUGACUUGAAAACUACUUUUUUAAGAGGGUGUUUGGAUUAGCUUAAAAGUUGGCCGAAUCUACUUUUAAGUCAGUUUUUGAUUUAUUGAAGUGUUUGACAAAUAUAAAAAUAACUUAAAAUAAAUAAAAAAUGACUUGAAAUAAAGUUAGGAAGUGUUUAGCAAGAUUAAAAAUAACCUAAAAUAAGUUAAAAACAAAAAGUAGGUCCCCCCUACUUUUUAUUUCUUGGCUUAAAAGUCAUUUAAGUUUGACUUUUUAUUUUUGACUUAGAAGCUAUUUUUUUAUGUCAAUCUAAACGAUAGGGGUGGACAUUCGGUAUUCGAUUCGGGUUUCUCAAAUUUUGAGUUUGGUAAUUUGGUAAUUGGUAGUUAAAGUAGAUAUCAAAUACCAAAAUUUUAAAUUUCGGUUUGGUAAUUCGAAAAACAAUAAAUUAAACUUCGAUUUGGUGCAGUAUUCAGUAAUACCGUAUUCAAGUUAUAACCAAUUGUAUUACAAAUUUAAUAUUAUUUCUCUAAUCAUUUCUAUUUAUUUAUGUAGACACAUGAUAUAAUAGAAGAUCAAACAAGUAAGAAGACAUUUCUUUUUUUUUUUAACACCCGGAAAUUGCUUCAUAAAGGUUUUAAGACAUUACAUGUACUUGUGGAUUUUUCACAAGUUUGAUUUAUUAAAUCCUUCAAGAAUGAAAUCAGCCCAACUUUAGAGAAGGUGAAGAAAAAGAAAAAAGAAUGCAAGGCAUUGGGGUAGAAUAUCCACAAGCACCUCAAGUACUUGAAUUGAAGUAGAAAAUAAAUUAUUCUGCUGUCUUGGAGGUCCCUUCCACUUGAAGUUGUCCGCAUAUGACUUGAUCUUUAACAAUGUUGUGUGUCGUUUCUUAACCGUAUAUUCCCAGCCUUGCUUUUCAGCGAAUGCUUUUGCAGCUUCUUCACUCUCAAAACUAAGUGCUGAAUCACCAACAUUGGCAUAUGGGUCCCCUGUGGAUGUCCACCCCAUCAAUGGAUUCUCCCAUUACUGGGUAGACAUGAAAUUGAUUUUCCAUCUGCCAACUUUUCCAGAGCCCUGUUGACUAGCAGUCCGAGCAGGUGAGAAAAUCACAACCCUUCUACGAAGAUGUUCAUCUGGAAUACCAGAGACCAUACCGAUCUCUCCGGGCUUGAUUUCGACCAACGCUUCUGACGCAAAUUGUCUCCAUAUCAGCGUCAGAGAAGAUCGCCUGGCGGCUUGCGAGGAAUGCGUCGCUAUUCGUCGGAGAGAGCUAGCCAUUUCCCUGAGAUGAUAGAAUCCGGCUGAAGUGAUGAAGCCAGAAAAAUUACUUUGCCCUUUGUAUUUUUAUUUUCACGGUGAUGUGGACAAGUAAGAAGAUAUUAAGAAAAGCAAAUUGAUACAACUAAAAAACAUGUAUUUGGAUUAUUCAUGCUUAUUCUUUAACUUUUUCUUUAGACUUGUACUCAUGAGUAAUGGAUACGUUGAUAUAUGACCUUCAUUAGGUAAAUAAUUUAGUAUUUGGGAAAAUACCGAAUACCAAAUUAUACUAAUGUCUCAUACCAAAUCCAAACCCGAAUACCAUAAUUCUAAAAUUUUACUCAUGAGUACCAUACCAAAUACCGAAUUACCAAAUACCAAAUAAUCAAAACUUUUGAUUCGAUUCGAUAAUUCGAUUUCGGUAUUUUAUGCCCAGCCCUACCAAACGGGCUCUAAGUCAAUCUUGAGAGUUGGAAAAUAUUGACAACAUAUAUAGUACUAGACUACUAAAGUGAUUAGCAUCAAACUGAAGAAUGCAAGUAAGAGUUUUAGAAAUGUCCAUCUUACUUUUCUUGUUAUUUUCCCCAUUGCUUAGCUUAGGACACAGACUAGAGGCGGGUUGUGAGGAUUCUUCGUGCAAGAAUGAUGGUCUCAUCAUUCAUUUCCCAUUCAGACUCAGUCAUCAACCAAAACAUUGUGGCAAUCCUGGCUUUGAACUACACUGUAACACUAAAAAGACACCAUCCUUGAGCUUCCUCGUCUGUUCACUUAGUUGUUGAAGAAAUUGAUUAUGUCUCACAGAAAAUUAACCUUUACGAUCCUGACGAAUGCAUAGCAGCCAAGCUACCAAAACUGAAUUUGUCACAAUCUAAUUUCAGAAAUGCUGACGAUCCCACAGUCCUAUUCAAUUGUUUUGCACCAUUGGCAUACUAUUAUGAUAUUCAUUUUGUUCCUUGUCUUGGUUCUUCUGGUUACAAAGUUUAUGCUGUUCGUACGACUCAAUUAUUGUAGGUGUAAUUUUAGGUACAGCGCUUGUUUGCAUUAUUGUCUUCUCACUUUAUCAGCUAUAUUUGACAAGUAGAAAUGGAAGAGAGAGUCGAGUUAGACUUGAAAAGUUUUUGGAUGACUACAAGGCCAUCAGACCAACACGAUAUUCAUAUGCUGAUAUUAAGAAGAUAACAGAUGAUUUUAAUGAAAAGUUAGGAGAAGGGAGUUAUGGAACUGUAUACAAAGGCAGACUUUCCAGUGAAAUCUAUGUUGCAGUAAAAGUCCUACGCGAUUCCAAGGGUAAAGGGGAAGAAUUUAUCAAUGAAAUUGGUACAAUUGGGAGAAUCCACCAUGUUAACGUGGUCCGCUUAGUUGGGUUUUGUGCUGAUGAAUUCAGACGAGCUCUGAUCUACGAAUACCUACCAAAUGAUUCACUUGAAAGGUUUAUUUUACCAGUGAGCUCAAGCCCGGGUAGUGUCUCACUCAUCAGCUGGAACAAGCUUCAACAUAUUGCUCUGGGUACUGCAAGAGGGAUUGAGUAUCUUCACCAGGGAUGUGAUCAGCAAAUCCUACAUUUCGAUAUCAAACCACAAAACAUCCUUUUAGACCACAACUUGAAUCCCAAAAUAUGUGAUUUUGGCCUAGCCAAACUGUGUUAUAAAGAAAAAAGUGUGGUCACUAUGACAGCUGCUAGGGGAACCAUUGGUUACAUUGCACCAGAAGUGUUAUCAAGAAACUUUGGUAAAGUUUCUCAUAAGUCUGAUAUUUAUAGCUUUGGGAUUCUCUUGUUAGAAAUGGUUGGUGGGAGGAUAAAGAUGGAUUCUAAGACGAAUAAUCACAGCAAAGUGAAUUCUUUGGAAUGGAUAUAUGGAUAUUUGGAGAAAGGGGAAGAAUUAAAGAUUCGGAUAGAGGAAGAAGGAGAUGGUACAAUUGUGAGAAAGUUAGCUAUUGUUGAACUUUGGUGCAUACUGUGGCAUCCAAUUGAUAGGCCUUCAAUAAAAGAAGUUACUCAGAUGCUGGAAGGAGAUGGGAGCCAUCUCAACUUGUACCCAAAUCCUUUUAUGGCUAAUAAUACGCCUAAGUUAAACGCAAGUCCUCUCAGUUAGGAUCUAGAUGUGAUAUUAGAAAUUGAAUAACACUUGAAAGUCAUUUGUAUAAUGAAAAUGAGAUAGUAUAAGAAUUGCAAAAGUAUUUUGUUUCAUAGUAGUGAUCAGCAAGCUUAAUGAUAAAUAUAUGUAGACUUAUUUCUCGAUUUGUAUGUAUUAGAUCCUCAUGAGAUGCACUAGUCCACCACGUACUAAGGGACUGGGUUGGUUUUACACUAAAAUGCAGUAAAAGAGACUAAAGUUUGAAAUAAAACAACAAGGAGUUUUACAUGGAAACCUCCUUGCUCAAGGGAGGAAAACCACGACCUGUCACACAGGAUGUCCAACUGCUUUUACUAUCUUCAAGCAACAAGUGAUUACAGACUCCAAACACAUAUUCAGAGAUUAAACUCUUAAUCUCACCACUCAUAAUAACUCUAUCACAGAAAGAGCCGGGUAAUACCUAUAUUGCCCACUAUAUUAACUA